AUUUUUGUAUCUUUAGUAGAGAUGGGAUUUCACCGCAUUAGCCAGGAUGGUCUCGAUCUCCUGACCUCAUGAUCCGCCCACCUUGGCCUCCCAAAGUGCUGGGAUUACAGGGGUGAGCCACCACACCGGGCUGGGAUUCUUUUUUCUCUGUUUUCUUUUUUUUUUUUUUUUUUGAGACAGGGUCUCACCCUGUCGUCCAGGCUGCAGUGCACUGGUGUGAUCAUAGCUCACUGCAGCCUCAACCUCCUGGGCUGAAGCCAUCCUCCCACCUCAGCCUCGCAAAUAGCUGGGACCACAGGUGCAUGCCACCAUGCCCCGCUAAUUUUUGUAUUUUUUUUGUAGAGACAGGGUUUUGCCAUGUUGUCGAGGCUGGUCUCAAAUUCCUAGGCUCAAGCGAUCCUCCUGCCUCAGCCUCCCAAAGUGCUGGGAUGACAGGUGUGAGCCCCGUGCCUGGCCUGGUCAUUUCUCUUGCUGUGCCCAACCUGCCAUUAAUCCCAUCCAUCCUGAGCCCGACGUGGUCAUUUCUCUCACCACCCAACCUACCGCCCGACGUGGUCCUUUCCCUCACCACCCAACCUACCGCCCGACGUGGUCCUUUCCCUCACCACCCAACCUACCGCCCGACGUGGUCCUUUCCCUCACCACCCAGCCUACCGCCCGACGUGGUCCUUUCCCUCACCACCCAGCCUACCGCCCGACGU
rnacentral:lncRNA from 1 species